UACAGAGGUCUCAAGCGUUGUUCGGAUUCAUUGGGCGUAAAGGGUGCGUAGGUGGCGCGGUAAGUCGGGUGUGAAAUUUCGGAGCUUAACUCCGAAACUGCAUUCGAUACUGCCGUGCUUGAGGACUGGAGAGGAGAUUGGAAUUUACGGUGUAGCAGUGAAAUGCGUAGAUAUCGUAAGGAAGACCAGUGGCGAAGGCGGAUCUCUGGACAGUUACUGACACUGAGGCACGAAGGCCAGGGGAGCAAACGGG
rnacentral:rRNA from 1 species